GAGCUUGCUUCUCUGGAUGAGUUGCGAACGGGUGAGUAACGCGUAGGUAACCUGCCUGGUAGCGGGGGAUAACUAUUGGAAACGAUAGCUAAUACCGCAUAAGAGUAGAUGUUGCAUGACAUUUGCUUAAAAGGUGCAAUUGCAUCACUACCAGAUGGACCUGCGUUGUAUUAGCUAGUUGGUGGGGUAACGGCUCACCAAGGCGACGAUACAUAGCCGACCUGAGAGGGUGAUCGGCCACACUGGGACUGAGACACGGCCCAGACUCCUACGGGAGGCAGCAGUAGGGAAUCUUCGGCAAUGGACGGAAGUCUGACCGAGCAACGCCGCGUGAGUGAAGAAGGUUUUCGGAUCGUAAAGCUCUGUUGUAAGAGAAGAACGAGUGUGAGAGUGGAAAGUUCACACUGUGACGGUAUCUUACCAGAAAGGGACGGCUAACUACGUGCCAGCAGCCGCGGUAAUACGUAGGUCCCGAGCGUUGUCCGGAUUUAUUGGGCGUAAAGCGAGCGCAGGCGGUUAGAUAAGUCUGAAGUUAAAGGCUGUGGCUUAACCAUAGUACGCUUUGGAAACUGUUUAACUUGAGUGCAAGAGGGGAGAGUGGAAUUCCAUGUGUAGCGGUGAAAUGCGUAGAUAUAUGGA
rnacentral:rRNA from 1 species